rnacentral:lncRNA from 1 species
CAUUAUGGUCACCACCACCACCAUUAUGGUCACCACCAUCACCACCAUGAGGAGACCCAACCACCCCCACCAUGGCUACCAACAGCACCACCAGUAGUAACUGAAUAUGGUACUUUUCAACCACCUCCUCAACCAGUAAUCGGUUUUCCUCUGCCAGUUCCUCCACCUGGAUCAGUACUUGAACCUUCUGAAUACUAUGCUCGUGUCUAUCAGUCUGUUCCAGGUAACCCCUUUUGUUCUCAUCUCAGAAUUUAUUAAGGAUAGCUGGAUUGAUUAAUUUUCUUGAAAUGAUUCAAUUUAUUUGAUUCUGGGUGAAAAGUUUGCGGCUUUUUGCAAUAUUUAGUUGAAAAUCGGAGCUAGAUGUGGUCACCUUUCUGAUCUAACACCACAGGCGAUGGCCAGGGAUCAUCCUCUCAAUAGGACAGAAAAGAAAGAAGGAAUCUUCCUAGGAAGAACCUAGACGAUUUCUGGAAUCAUCCUUGACUUUGUUGUUCACAGUAGCAGCUUGCCAAGUGGGAGAAUGAGGACCGUCAGAUUGAGGGUAUGAAGGCUAUAACAUAGAGUUGGAGGCCUUAUUUCUGGGACAUCCAGAAAAUGCUAGUCAUCAUUAGCUCAUUGGCUUGCUUUCUGAUAGCUUUCUCUAGGCUAAGAAAUUCGAUGACUCAUCCUAGGGCUUUUCUUUUUGUUCCCCUUUGUAAUGCAAUCGAAAAGAGAUCAGAACCAAGUGAAAAAAGGUUUCAUAAGCAAACAUUAUUGUGGAAAUCAAGGGAGAGUGCCAUUUUAGAAAAGAUACAAUAGUUUCCGAUUCCCCCAAGCUUAGGGGUCAAUUACGGGGGGUAACCGGUCGAUCAACUCAUUUUUUGUGUCUUUUGCAACAUUAAGUUGAGUUAUGGUGAAAAGUUUGAGUUUUUCUGCAAUAUUAAGUUGAGUUAUGGUUAAAGUUUGUGUCUUUUGCAAAAUACAGUUGAAUUAUGUUGAAAAGUUUGUGCCUUUUCCAUCAUUCAGUUGAGUUAUGUCGAUAAUUUUGUGUCUUUUGUAUCAUUCAGUUGAAUUAUGUUGAAAAGUUUGUGUCUUUUUGCAACAUUCAGUAGAAUUGUGUUGAAAAGUUUAUUGUCUUUUGCAACAUCCAGUUAUAUUGUGUUGAAAAGUUUGUAUCUUUUCAACCACCUCCUCAACCAGUAAUCGAUUUUCCUCUGCCAGUUCCUCCACCUGGAGCAGUACUUGAACCUUCUGAAUACUAUGCUCAUGGCUAUCAGUCCGUUCCAGGUACCCCUUUUGCUCUCAUCUCAGAAUUCAUUCUGGAUUGAUUAAUUUUCUUGAAAUGAUUCAAUAAUUUGAUUUUGGGUGAAAAGUUUGUGUCUUUUUGCAAUAUUUAGUUGAAUUGUGUUGAAAAGUUUGUCUUUUUGCAAUAUUAAGUUGAGUUAUGGUGAGAAGUUUGUGUUUUAUGCAAUAUUAAGUUGAGUUAUGGUAAAAGUUUGUAUCUUUUGCAAUAUUCAGUUGAAUUAUGUUGAAAAGUUUGUGCCUUUUGCAUCAUUCAGUUGAGUUAUGUCGAUAAUUUUGUGUCUUUUGUAUCAUUCAGUUGAAUUAUGUUGAAAAGUUUGUGUCUUUUGCAACAGUCAGUAGAAUUUUGUUGAAAAGUUUAGUGUCUUUUGCAACAUCCAGUUAUAUUGUGUUGAAAAGUUUGUAUCUUUUCAACCACCUCCUCAACCAGUAAUCAGUUUUCCUCUGCCAGUUCCUCCACCUGGAGCAGUACUUGAACCUUCUGAAUACUAUGCUCGUGGCUAUCAGUCCGUUCCAGGUACCCCUUUUGUUCUCAUCUCAGAAUUCAUUCUGGAUUGAUUAAUUUUCUUGAAAUGAUUCAAUAAUUUGAUUUUGGGUGAAAAGUUUGUGUCUUUUUGCAAUAUUUAGUUGAAUUGUGUUGAAAAGUUUGUCUUUUGCAAUAUUAAGUUGAGUUAUGAUAAAAGUUUGUGUUUGCAAUAUUCAGUUGAAUUAUGUUGAAAAGUUUGUGC